rnacentral:lncRNA from 1 species
GGAAACCGAAUCACUUGUUCCUUCUAGCCAGCCAGUUAACUCAGAGGAUGAAAAGAGCUACUUUCUCCACAAGAUUCAGAAGAGUGGAGCUGACCACACAUUGAAGGACUAAAGAUUAAUUAUGCUGCAGGUUCCUUCUCUACUCCAACCUACAGAAACAAAGGUACACGAAGAAAGGGUCAGGCGACAAAUCAAGACGCAAACAUUUCUAUCUGUUCCCAUAUUACCACCCUCCAGACAACAUGGCGUAAAGCAGACUCAUUCAAAAGAGAAGCCACUGAUGAAGUCAACACAACACCAGCAUGAUCCACCAAAGAACAGCCCAAACCAGCAAAAUCCAACUUUUCCAAAUAGGUACUGGGAAUCUGCACUUAAUUUAAGCAGCUGCAACAGAGAAAUUGGCCAACAUCUGUGCAGCAACAGAUGUUUGGGACUGUCUGUCCUCACAGGCCACAGUGUGACCACCUGUCAGGGUUUUUUUUACUGCAUCUGGCAGCAGCUGCUCUGUUUGUCUCUGCCUCAGCACUUUCUUCUCAGACCUAGUGGCUGCUUGUAUCUUAGCUAGAUUAUCCUUCUGUAUCUCCCAGUAUCUAGGGCAGAGUGUUACUGAUGAAUGAUGGUGUACAAGUGUUUAAGAAANAAAGAAGUGGCUCAAAAUGCCUUAAAAGUGGUAGCGUGUGGCCCCUGUGCUGUGAUUCAAUCUCUGACCCACUUUUUCUAGCCUAGAUGUUCAUGUGAGAAGGGAGGGCAGAUUGGCCUGUAAACAAUCCCACCUGCCAACCAUCUCUAAGCCGUCCUUUAGGUUGCAUUCGCAUGUAGCAAAUAGAAAUCAUCUUUAAAGCACUUUAGAGAGAGUAGUAUAUAUGCUUGUGUUCUCGUUCCAUCUCUAAUUCACCUUUUCUGGCCUAGAAUGUUCAUGAAAGGGGGGAAGGGCAGACACGAAUGUGAACAGGGCAUCUCUAAGCUGCCUCAGAGGGGCCUUUUUUUAACCACAUGUGAAUUCAGCCAAGAUCACAGAAUGAAAAAGGAAUCUUGCUAUAUUUGCUCAGUUCCAGCAGUAUUUACACAAGGANUGUAUAUCAAUGAGAGAGCCUCAGGUUUGCAUUGUAGAAAUUCCAAGGUCCAAUCCCUAGCAUUGCCCAUAAAGAAGGUCAUAGUAAACCACUUCUGUCUGGCUGCCAAGAAAGCUUCAUGGAUGUGUCCAUGUAAGCAGGUGUCAAGCUCAACCUGAGGGUAUCUCUACCUUUGCCUUUCCUAUUCUUAUAUUUAUUAAUAGCUUUUCAAAAAACUCAAAGCUGGUUUUCAAUUAUAAAUAGAAAAAAUCAAAUAUCUGAUCACAGCUCAAAUAAAUCUCUGUAUUGUACUGUCCUAUAAAACA